UGAAUGAGCACAGCGGGCGGAGAGAGGGCUGAGCCUCACCCCUGACGGAUCGGGGCGCCGAAGAGGAGAUCUGUCCUUU
rnacentral:lncRNA from 1 species